UAUAAUGGAAUCUAUAUAGAAUAUAUUAGUGUGGUUUAUAUACAAGUCAGUGUAUCCAGCGAUGUUAAUCUGUGCUCCGAAACAAUGGGAUCAACUAAGGCGCUACUAGUACUCGGAGCUUUAUGUGCCUUACUGGCUAUAGGUCACUGUGAAGGCUUGAAAGAGAAAAUAAGUGAAGUUUUUAGAGAUGUGGGUAGGAGUGACAGUGGUUCUAAGGACUCGAGGAGUCAAUCAGGACGAUCCACCAACAGCGAGUCUGGCGUUUUAAGUGAAACUCGCGGUGAGGGAAGUGCAAUAACUGGGAGUUCAGGAGGUAUGGAAGAUUCUAGCGGUUUUGAUCGUAGAUAUAGCGGUCAAAGAAGUUCAGGUGAAUCUAGCUACGGUAGGGAGCAGGGUUCCAGAGGAAGAAGUGGUGAUUCCGGCAGCAGCAGAAGUUCUAGUGAAUCUAGAAGCAAUGAAAGAUCACGAGGUGGUGUUGGCAGAUAUAAUUAAAGGGAUAUAAAAUCUCAGUCAUAUAUCUAUUGAAUAAAUUAUAUAAAUUGAUUCCAUUCGAGUCCCGCAUCAUUCAUAAAUAUUGGUAAAAAUUAUAUUAAUUGUAAUUUUAACUUGAAUCAAACCCCUGUAUUGGAAUACAAAUAUUAAAUUGUUUAAAUUUCUAAAAAUAAAUUUGAGAAUUAAAAUUACUGCAGUUUGUCUUAAACUA